rnacentral:rRNA from 1 species
AUUGAACGCUGGCGGCAGGCUUAACACAUGCAAGUCGAGCGGGGUGAUGGUGCUUGCACUAUCACUUAGCGGCGGACGGGUGAGUAAUGCUUAGGAAUCUGCCUAUUAGUGGGGGACAACAUCUCGAAAGGGAUGCUAAUACCGCAUACGUCCUCAGGGAGAAAGCAGGGGAUCACUUGUGACCUUGCGCUAAUAGAUGAGCACAAGUCGGAUUAGCUAGUUGGUGGGGUAAAGGCCUACCAAGGCGACGAUCUGUAGCGGGGCUGAGAGGAUGAUCCGCCACACUGGGACUGAGACACGGCCCAGACUCCUACGGGAGGCAGCAGUGGGGAAUAUUGGACAAUGGGGGGAACCCUGAUCCAGCCAUGCCGCGUGUGUGAAGAAGGCCUUAUGGUUGUAAAGCACUUUAAGCGAGGAGGAGGCUCUUUUGGUUAAUACCCAAGAUGAGUGGACGUUACUCGCAGAAUAAGCACCGGCUAACUCUGUGCCAGCCGCCGCGGUAA